rnacentral:rRNA from 1 species
GACGAACGCUGGCAGCGUGCUUAAUACAUGCAAGUCAACUUGACUUUAGAUAGCAAUAUCGAAAAGUAGGUGCGCACGGGUGCGUAACGCGUAGGUAAUCUGCCCUGAGGUCUGACAUAACCCGUCGAAAGGCGGGCUAACAUCAGAUGAUAUAUAGUCACGACAUCGUGGAAAUAUCAAAUCUUCGGAGCCUUGGGAUGAGCCUGCGUCUGAUUAGGUAGUUGGCGGAGUAAUAGCCCACCAAGCCUACGAUCAGUAGCUGGUCUGAGAGGAUGAUCAGCCACACUGGAACUGAGACACGGUCCAGACUCCUACGGGAGCAGCAGUAAGGAUAUUGCUCAAUGGGGGAAACCCUGAAGCAGCAACGCCGCGUGAAGGAUGAAAUAC